UGGCUCAGGACGAACGCUGGCGGCGUGCUUAACACAUGCAAGUCGAACGGGAGUAUUGAAGAAGCUUGCUUUAGAGAUACUUUAGUGGCGGACGGGUGAGUAACGCGUGAGGAGCUGUCCUAUGCAGGGGGACAACAGCUGGAAACGGCUGCUAAUACCCCAUAAGCCGAGAGGUAAAAGGAUCAAUCCGGCAGAGGAGGUACUCGCGUCCUAUCAGCUAGUAGGUGAGGUAACGGCUCACCUAGGCGAAGACGGGUAGCCGGCCUGAGAGGGCGAACGGCCACACUGGAACUGAGAUACGGUCCAGACUCCUACGGGAGGCAGCAGUGGGGAAUAUUGGGCAAUGGGGGGAAAAACCCCUGACCCAGCGACGCCGCGUGGGUGAAGAAAUCCUUCGGGAUGUAAAGCCCUGUUGUAUGGGAAGAGCGGAAGACGGUACCAUACGAGGAAGCCCCGGCAAACUACGUGCCAGCCGCAGC
rnacentral:rRNA from 1 species